UACGUAGGGGGCAAGCGUUGUCCGGAUUUAUUGGGCGUAAAGAGCGUGUAGGCGGCCAAGCAGGUCAGCUGUGAAAACUCGAGGCUCAACCUCGAGACGUCGGUUGAAACCGCUUGGCUAGAGUCCGGAAGAGGAGAGUGGAAUUCCCGGUGUAGCGGUGAAAUGCGCAGAUAUCAGGAGGAACACCGGUGGCGAAGGCGGGUCUCUGGGCAAUAACUGACGCUGAGGAGCGAAAGCGUGGGGAGCGAACAGG
rnacentral:rRNA from 1 species